AACGAACGCUGGCGGCAUGCCUAACACAUGCAAGUCGAACGAGACCUUCGGGUCUAGUGGCACACGGGUGCGUAACGCGUGGGAACCUGCCCUUAGGUUCGGAAUAACUCCCCGAAAGGGGUGCUAAUACCGGAUAAUGUCUUCGGACCAAAGAUUUAUCGCCUUUGGAUGGGCCCGCGUUGGAUUAGCUAGUUGGUAGGGUAAAAGCCUACCAAGGCGACGAUCCAUAGCUGGUCUGAGAGGAUGAUCAGCCACACUGGGACUGAGACACGGCCCAGACUUCUACGGGAGGCAGCAGUGGGGAAUAUUGGACAAUGGGCGAAAGCCUGAUCCAGCAAUGCCGUGUGAGUGAUGAAGGCCUGAGGGUUGUAAAGCUCUUUUACCCGGGAUGAUAAUGACGGUACCGGGAGAAUAAGCACCGGCUAACUCCGUG
rnacentral:rRNA from 1 species